AGUAGGGAAUCUUCCGCAAUGGACGAAAGUCUGACGGAGCAACGCCGCGUGAGUGAUGAAGGUUUUCGGAUCGUAAAGCUCUGUUGUUAGGGAAGAACAAGUGCAAGAGUAACUGUUUGCACCUUGACGGUACCUAACCAGAAAGCCACGGCUAACUACGUGCCAGCAGCCGCGGUAAUACGUAGGUGGCAAGCGUUGUCCGGAAUUAUUGGGCGUAAAGGGCUCGCAGGCGGUUUCUUAAGUCUGAUGUGAAAGCCCCCGGCUCAACCGGGGAGGGUCAUUGGAAACUGGGAAACUUGAGUGCAGAAGAGGAGAGUGGAAUUCCACGUGUAGCGGUGAAAUGCGUAGAGAUGUGGAGGAACACCAGUGGCGAAGGCGACUCUCUGGUCUGUAACUGACGCUGAGGAGCGAAAGCGUGGGGAGCGAA
rnacentral:rRNA from 1 species